rnacentral:rRNA from 1 species
UACGAAGGGGGCUAGCGUUGCUCGGAAUCACUGGGCGUAAAGGGUGCGUAGGCGGGUCUUUAAGUCAGGGGUGAAAUCCUGGAGCUCAACUCCAGAACUGCCUUUGAUACUGAGGAUCUUGAGUCCGGGAGAGGUGAGUGGAACUGCGAGUGUAGAGGUGAAAUUCGUAGAUAUUCGCAAGAACACCAGUGGCGAAGGCGGCUAUCUGGUCCAAUUCUGACGCUGAGGCGCGAAAGGUAGGGGAGCAAACAGG